CAACGUUAUUGUCGAAUUUUUCUCGUACCACGGAUAUUUUCACGGAUAGAAUUUGCGAGGCAUUUAAGUUUAUGGCUGCCCCAUCUAAAACCAGUUGUUCAGAAAAAGAAAUCACAACGAUGAUUGUAUAGGAAAUAUGCAUAUUCGUAAAAAUAUUUUAACAGAUAUAUCAUAUAGACGUAAACUUAAAAAAUGUGGUGUACCUAACCUUGAAGUUUCUACAAGAAAACAAUUAAUAUGUAUUCGGGUGGUACAUAUUGAAUAUCUUUCGAAAUCAAAUUUUAAUAGCAGGUAGUACUAAAGUAAUUAAGAUAAUUGAUAAUUGACGACAAGACAAUAUUUAAUUUCUGAUAUUUGUCCGCCAAAUUCAAUCAUUUCAUAUACAACUUAAUACAUAUAAUGAAGUAAAUCUACUAAUCCACAUACAUAGUAUACGUAUACGUACAUACAGUAUAGUAUAAUAGAGCGAAAAUAUUAAGCAAUAUGGCCAAUGACUCAUUGGUGGUGAAGGGCUAUAAUCAGUUAAAUAACAGGCAAUCAGAUUGAUCAAAUACGUGCAAAUUCCUCCCAAUCACGGCACGUGAACAAUCAAGACCGUAACCAGGCCAAUUGAAAGAUGGAUGCAGAAAGUUUCCAUAUUGGAGAAAGUUCAUGUAAUAUGAAUUAUAAUAAACUAUGGCUUUUGCUCUGCGGCCACGCAUAGUAUGAGAUACUAAGCGCGUAAAAACCACACAUGCAGAAAUUACCGACUGGUCUCGCGGCAACAGUUUUUAUCGCGGGCUAAUAAAAUUCAAUUAUUAUCGGGGCAAAAGUUGUUUUAAAACGCAACGAACGAAGAGCUCAUUAUAUAGGAAAUAUUGUUGCUAUUAUAAUCUUUUUCUCCUUGCUAUAUAUAAUUAACCAAGUUAAGUUAUAAUAAAUUUUUCUACUUACUCGAUGAGGAUAAGCCAGAUGCCACGUGACGUUAAAGUUACUCCCAGACAGUAAAGUAGUUUUAAUAUCGCCUGCAACAUAAAAUGAACGCAUUAUGCAACAUUGCGCGCGCUAUUCUAUACAAAUUUUCACGAUCGCUCGCCGCGCGUUAAAUUACGUCGAGAUACGGAAACUUGCAAUUUCUCAGGCUCAUCGAUUUAGACGAGAGACCUUACGAACAAUGAAAAGUUAAUAUUCAUUAGAGUAACGAGACACGAUAAUUCAUCACAAUCACCGGAAACAUGCAUGGAUACAAGUUCAGCGAAAUCUUGCGUGCGAAUAUCCUUAUCCACGCCCAGAUAG